UACAGAGGUCUCAAGCGUUGUUCGGAUUCAUUGGGCGUAAAGGGUGCGUAGGCGGCGCGGUAAGUCGGGUGUGAAAUCUCGGAGCUUAACUCCGAAACUGCAUUCGAUACUGCUGUGCUUGAGGACUGGAGAGGAGACUGGAAUUUACGGUGUAGCGGUGAAAUGCGUAGAUAUCGUAAGGAAGACCAGUGGCGAAGGCGGGUCUCUGGACAGUUCCUGACGCUGAGGCACGAAGGCCAGGGGGAGCAAACAGG
rnacentral:rRNA from 1 species